rfam:Gossypium raimondii Chr07_contig_1005, whole genome shotgun sequence.
UUAGCGGCGCUUUUAAGCGCCACUAAAGCGCCGCAAAAAGCGCAA